UGCCAGCCGCCGCGGUAAUACAGAGGUGGCGAGCGUUGUUCGGAUUUACUGGGCGUAAAGGGUGCGUAGGCGGUUUCGUAUGUCGGAUGUGAAAGCCCAUUGCUUAACGAUGGAAUUGCAUUCGAUACUGGAUCGCUAGAGUAUAUUAGAGGAUAGUGGAAUUUCAAGUGUAGCGGUGAAAUGCGUAGAUAUUUGAAGGAACACCAAUGGCGAAGGCAGCUAUCUGGAAUAAUACUGACGCUGAGGUACGAAAGCGUGGGGAGCAAACAGGAUUAGAUA
rnacentral:rRNA from 1 species